rnacentral:rRNA from 1 species
UACGGGGGGGGGCAAGCGUUGUUCGGAAUUACUGGGCGUAAAGGGCGCGUAGGCGGUUUGCUAAGCUGGAUGUGAAAACUCUGGGCUUAACCCAGAGCCUGCAUCCAAAACUGGCAAACUUGAGUACUGGAGGGGAAAGCGGAAUUCCUGGUGUAGCGGUGAAAUGCGUAGAUAUCAGGAGGAACACCGGUGGCGAAGGCGGCUUUCUGGACAGUAACUGACGCUGGAGGCGCGAAAGCUAGGGGAGCAAACAGG